GAUGAACGCUGGCGGCGUGCUUAACACAUGCCAGUCGAACGAGAAAUGUAGACGGAAACCUUCGGGCGGAAGCCUUCAUUUCGAGUGGCGGACGGGUGAGUAACGCGUGGGUAACCUGCCUCAUACAGGGGGAUAACCGUUGGAAACGACUGUUAAUACCGCAUAAGACCACAGCAUCGCAUGAUGCGGGUUUAAAAACUCCGGUGGUAUGGGAUGGAUCCGCGUUCGAUUAGCCAGUUGGCGGGGUAACGGCCCACCACAGCGACGAUCGAUAGCCGAGCUGAGAGGAAGACCGGCCACAUUGGGAGUGAGACACGGCCGAAAAUCCUACGGGAGGCAGCAGUGGGGAAUAUUGCACAAUGGGGGAAGCCCUGAUGCAGCGACGCCGCGUGAGUGAAGAAGUUGGGCGGUAUGUAAAGCACGAUCAGAAGGGAAGAAAAUGACGGUACCUGAGUAAGAAGCCCCGGCUAACUACGUG
rnacentral:rRNA from 1 species